rnacentral:lncRNA from 1 species
AACAGAGAAGAUCUUGAACUCCUUUAUUUCUAUUACUCUUACUUUUUGUGUUCAAUAUUUCAUUUGAGUUUUAUUCAAACAAUCAUGACUUUGUCUCUCAUGAAUAUGUCCGAGUAAACCCAAUUGUUAGAUUUAGGUUUCUCAUAAAGGUUGAAAGUGUGUGCUGCUAAUAAGACUGUUAAAAAGGUGGUUUGAUUGUUCUUUCAUGCUUGUUGAGCUUAAUGCUAAAAUUAGGAUUGAACACCCUCAUUUUAGAUCUUAGGAUUAAUUUCGAUAACCAACUGUUACCCUCAAUACCUGAAAUAGCCAGCGUGAUCUAACUGACUAGAUAACAACGAGAGUUGGUCUAUAAGGUUAGAGAACAACUUCAAACCCGCUCGCAAAGCUUGCUAGAAGAACCGUCGAUCGACGC